UACAGAGGUCUCAAGCGUUGUUCGGAUUCAUUGGGCGUAAAGGGUGCGUAGGUGGCGCCGUAAGUCAGGUGUGAAAUCUCGGGGCUCAACCCCGAAACUGCACUUGAUACUGCGGUGCUCGAGUACUGGAGAGGAGACUGGAAUUUACGGUGUAGCGGUGAAAUGCGUAGAUAUCGUAAGGAAGACCAGUGGCGAAGGCGGGUCUCUGGACAGUUCCUGACGCUGAGGCACGAAGGUCAGGGGAGCAAACGGG
rnacentral:rRNA from 1 species